rnacentral:rRNA from 1 species
UACAGAGGGUGCGAGCGUUAAUCGGAAUUACUGGGCGUAAAGCGUGCGUAGACGGUUAUUUAAGUCGGAUGUGAAAGCCCCGGGCUCAACCUGGGAAUUGCAUUCGAGACUGAAUAGCUAGGGUACGGUAGAGGGAAGUGGAAUUUCCGGUGUAGCGGUGAAAUGCGUAGAUAUCGGAAGGAACAUCAGUGGCGAAAGCGGCUUCCUGGACCAGUACCGACGUUCAGGCACGAAAGCGUGGGGAGCAAACAGG